CGUAACUUUUUUUCAAACCAACUGCACGUAUAUACGUAUGUGAUUGACAGCGACGACUAGCGGUGAAACAUAUAAACGAUAGCCAUUCGAUUCUUUAUAUCGAUCGAUCAUACGAUGAUGUCGAACUGUGAACGGUUAAGUGAGAGUUGCGAAAUUUGUGGAAUAAUUGUUUCUAUAAUUGACGCGAGUGUUACGUGUGCUUUUGCCGGAAUGUCCGAAAUUCUAUUACGCGGGAUAUAUAUUGUAAUUUACUGUGAUUGUGGCUUGUGACGAAUCAAGUGUCAUUGAUGGUGGAGGACAAUAAUAUAGGCUGCCUGUAACAUCGGAGGAGGAUUCCAUCUUGUGCUCGUGAUGACAGGAAUGUCGAGGCAGCGGUACGCGGGCCGCAGCAGCGGUGACAGAUAAGGAAGGGAGGAGCCACGCGUCGAGCAAUCAUGUGUAGUGUCAUGUGGCUCCUUCGGCUCCUAACGACUUGCUGCCUCGUUUACCUAUCGGCGUCCGACUCUC